GAGUGCGAAACGACAUCGUUUGACUCAGUGCCCACAUGAUUUCAGGAUGCAAUGGCCGGGACCCAAAAGCAGGAAGUUUAAGGACGAUUCCCGCAUUCCGACUCCUGCCAUCCCAGUAAUGGACACUUCCAGGCUACUAAAUUUACGUUCGCUUCACCCAUGUUUUCACUAUAAAGAUCGAUCAGAUCUGCCAUUGUUAUGUAAGGCACCUCACACUCCCAAUGCUAAUUUCUACUGCCCUGAAAUGCUUUCAGUUUCUUUCAUUUCUCAGAACUGUUCUACUUUGACACAAUAUGUUGGAAACCCGUCUAGAAAAUCGGUGAUUCGAGAUGGGUGUUUGGGCAAUAAUCCUGAAACCAAUGUUUCAUCGAUUUGCAAGAUGAUUACAGAAUCCACAGAUUGCGGAUUAUUUGAAGGUGUUGUAGUGGCUUAUAUUGAUAUGCUUGAAUAUGCUUUCCCGGUCGAGGAAUUCCGAUGCUUUUCUCGUUUAAUUAAGGCAUUUGGUGGGCUUUCUGAUGUCAAUAAGAGCAGGUAGAUUCAUGGACAUGUCUUGAAAUUAGGUUUUUUAAAUGAUAUUUACAUUAUGAAUGCGCUUUUAAGUAUCUGCCGGAAAUGCGGGGCUGUUGCUGAUGCCGUUAAGGUGUUUGAGAAAAUGCGUGAGAGAGAUAUAGUGUCGUGGAAUGCCAUGAUAUCUGGGUUUUCCCAAUCAAGAGUAUUAUAUUGCAUCGUUGACGAUCUUUAGCAGGAUGAUCGAGGAACAUGGUGUGUAUCCCAAUCGCGUUUCAUGCUUGUCAGCGCUCUCUUCCUGUUCUUCCAUUGAGUCAUUGAUUCACGGGAAAGAAAUUCAUACAUUUCUCUUGAAAAGUGGGUUGGACUUUGAUGAGUUUUCAGUUAGCCAAUUGAUUGAAAUGUGCAUGGGUUGUGGAGAUACUAGAAGUGCUGAGCUUAUUUUUAAGAGCGACCUUGACAGGGAAUUGACCAGGGGAAACAUAGUAAUAUGGAACGUGAUGAUUGCGGGCUAUAUAUCUAAUGAGUCUUUUCAAUCAGCAUUCAAAUUGUUAAUCGAGCUGUUGGAAUUAGGGAUAAGUCCAGAUUCUUCAACGCUUGUGUUUGCUUUAGUUCUCUGCUCACAAUUAGCAGAUUUAACUUUUGGAAUGCAAAUCCAUAAACUUGUUUUAGCACUUGGGAUUGGAAAUGAUGUAAGAGUUAAAACUGCCGUCAUGGAGAUGUACUUUAAAUUUGGUGAUCCUGAAACUGGUUUUAACAUCUUCGGAAGGUCUGUAAAUCAUAACUUGGUCAUGUGGGGUGCAGUACUAUCCAAUUGUACUCAGAACGGUUACCCUGCUAGGAAACUAGAAUUGUUCCGUAGAUUUAUGUUAGAAAAGGGUUCCCCAGAUUCUGUUAUCCUUUUAGCUGUAUUGCAGGCAUGUUCAUUCUUGAGUCUUCUGACUAGAGGUAAGGAAAUCCAUGGAUUAGAAGUGAAAAUGAAACUCAAAUCUGAUACUUUUGUUGGCAGUGCCUUAGUUGAUAUGUAUGCUAAAUGUGAAGAUAUGAAAUCGACUAAGAAAGUUUUUUCUCGGUUGUCAUCAUGGGAUUUGAUCUCAUGGAAUGCUGUAAUAUCUGGAUUUUUACAUUACAGCUCUCGUGAUGAAGCUUUAAAAGCAUUUCAUGAUAUGCAAUCUGAACAAAUUAGACCAAAUAACAUAACAGCUUCUUGUGUUAUCUCUGUUUGUGCCCAGAUGUCAGCCAUGAAACUAUGCAAGGAGCUUCAUUGUUACUUAUUCCGGCAAGGAUUAGAGACCAAUGUUCUAGUAAGCAAUUCUCUGAUAGGUGCCUAUGCCAAAUGCGGUGACAUAAUAAGCUCAUUGAGAAUAUUUGAGAAAAGCCCUGAAAGAAAUGCACUAUCAUGGAAUUCAAUCAUAUUGGGGUUUGGGAUACACGGUCUCACAGAAGAUAUGUUUGUUUCAUUUGAAAAUAUGAAAGACGCAGGCGUGAAACCUGACAGUGUAACUUUUACAGCUCUGCUGUCUGCAUGUAGUCACACUGGAAAAGUGGACAUGGGGCUGGAAAUUAUUUGAAGAUAUGGUUCAAAAAUACAAACUUGAGCUUGAACUGAAGCAAUACACAUGUAUGGUUGACCUUCUAAGCCGAGCUGGCCAUUUAAAUGAAGCUUAUAAUCUGAUCAUGGCCGUGCCUUUUGUCCCUGAUGAUCACAUGCGGGGUUCAUUGCUUGGAUCAUGUAGAACUUACAGAAAUCAGAAGAUGGCAGAACUUGUGGCUAGUCGGAUAUUCCAACUUGAUUCUACUAGCACCGGUUAUCAUCUCCUUCUUGCUAAUUUAUACGAAGAUUUUGGAAAAUUGAAUCGAAGUGUUAGAAUUAUGUCUGAAAUAAAAAAUUUGGGACUUGAAAAGCAGGUGGGUUGCAGUUGGGUUGAAGUUAAUAAUAAUUUUUCAUAUAUUUGUCGCUAGUGAUAAUUCAGACUCGCAGUCACAGGAGAUAAAUGCCAUGACAGAAACUUUAACCCUAGAGCUUAAAAAUGAAGGGUAUCGUGUGGUAUACGGUCUCGCAAGACGGCCGCAGCAAGCCCAAUUCCCUCUCAAUUCUAUCAGCUCUGAUUCAUACCCACUAUCUCCCGUCUGUCUCUGCUUUUUCGCUCAGCAACAGCAGCGUGGGAGUCGUUGCUCACAAACUGCUCACAUACUCUUAUCUUUGGUUCAUUGGUUCUUUCACAGCGCCGCUGCCUCGCCCUCGGAUCCUCCGGCUUUCUCUGUGACGUCGUCAUCUUCUGUUAUGCCAUGAUUCUGUAGCAUUCGCAAAAAUCAGUAGGAUACACUCAUUUCUUUGCAAACGCAACUCCUUCAUUGAUGGUGGAGCAUUGGAUCUCAUUCUACCUGUCUACUUGAUAUUCAUCCCUGAGCUUUUACACAGAAGGGUACCAUUUUCUUUCA